rnacentral:rRNA from 1 species
ACGAACGCUGGCGGCGUGCCUAAUACAUGCAAGUCGAACGAGAGCGACCGGUGCUUGCACUGGUCAAUCUAGUGGCGAACGGGUGAGUAACACGUGGGUAACCUGCCCAUCAGAGGGGGAUAACAUCCGGAAACGGAUGCUAAAACCGCAUAGGUCUUCGAGCCGCAUGGCUUGAAGAGGAAAAGAGGCGCCAGCUUCUGCUGAUGGAUGGACCCGCGGUGCAUUAGCUAGUUGGUGAGGUAACGGCUCACCAAGGCCGUGAUGCAUAGCCGACCUGAGAGGGUGAUCGGCCACAUUGGGACUGAGACACGGCCCAAACUCCUACGGGAGGCAGCAGUAGGGAAUCUUCCGCAAUGGACGCAAGUCUGACGGAGCAACGCCGCGUGAGUGAAGAAGGUUUUCGGAUCGUAAAACUCUGUUGUUAGAGAAGAACAAGUGCUAGAGUAACUGUUAGCGCCUUGACGGUAUCUAACCAGAAAGCCACGGCUAACUACGUG